GAGGGUAUAACUCAGUGGUAGAGCACGUGCUUAGCAUGCACAAGGUCCUGGGUUCAAUCCCCAGUACCUCCA
rnacentral:tRNA from 1 species